UCUUUUUUUUUUUCUGAAUAUAAUUGGUGUUUUUGGAUACCUUUAGUGGAACUUGCUAGGGCUUAAUAAGAGGGUUUAUGUAUUAGCUAAAUUUGGAGGAAUUUUUUUUUUUUUUUUGCUUUUUUAGAUUUGUAAAUGGGUGUCAGAAAGAAAAUGCAUUGACAAAUGGUAAAGAUGGAAAGAAAGUUUAGGGUUUGUUUGAAGCUGGAUUUGUAAAUAUUUUGUUUUGUUGGUUUUGAAGGCAAAUGAAUAAGAAAUUGACUUGUUACGAAAGAUGAGGAAAUAUUGCUUGAGGCUAAGCUUGAAUUAUCCAUGCCGGUGGCCGAGUUAGCAUUUCUUGCCCCUUACCACAAGGGGCAAAUGAGGAAAAAAAUACAAUUUAUCUUGCUCUCCAUUGAAAAUUGUGCAUUCUUUAGCAUUCUUUAGCGUGUGUUAUUGGUUUAAUUACCUUGUGUAAGUGUUCAAUUUUGUCCAUGUUGGGCUCCAUUUUUCAGGAUCAUCCAAUGCUUGCAAGGGAAUACGAAAGGGUUAGAGCAGGGAAGCCCCCGGUCCAAAUGGACACGUCAAGAUAUGGACUUGAAAUUCCGCCAGCGAACAAACGGAAUGAUGAAACUGCAUGGAAGCAAGCACUUCAAAAAGCUCAACGCUUACUGCAGCAUCAAGUUAUUAGGUAUGUUCUUUAUACUCGUACUCGCAAAAUGAUAUUGCUUUUCUUUUAUUGGACAAAAGUUUGAGUUUCGUCGGGAAUAAAGAAAAAAUGGGCAGAAGGGGGAAUCCGUAAACUAAGAAGAUCUGUGCAUUUCAACUGAGACGAGGUGGAUCUGGCUUCGGUUUAUUUUGCGGUAACUAUUAGCAGGCAAACAUUCAAAAGUCCAACUUUUACGCUUAAGUUUUCAGUGAUCUCAAUGAGCUUUGAAGAUAUUCUCUUUCCAUUUUUUGUACGAAGUAAAUAACAUGCUAAACUAUUUACCACCAAAUAAAGGAACAACUUUGUAAAUCUUUUUUGUUGGGAAUUUGAAAUUGGUAGACUACCAAGGUUGCAAUGUUAGUAACCCCAAUACAAAAUGAUAAAAGAAAAAAAAAAAAAGGCAAACAGUUGUGCCCUUGAUGCAUCACUUAUUCUGUAUCACCUUGUCUUUAUUGAACAUUUUCCUUCUGUGGCUUUGGUUGGUAACUAACUUGUUUCUCCUUUUAGUUGUUUAGCAUCCAACAUUUAAUUGUAGUUAUUGGGUGGAAUGGUUUGCUUUUUCAUUAGAUUAUCAUAAUAAAUAGAAGUUCAGCUUUAUAGCCAUACCUCUCAUUUCUUUUUUCCUUUGCUACCACAUCUUAAAGUUUAUUUUCUUCCUGCAAAAUUUUGUGUUGAUGUGCUUAUCAAUGUUUACUGUUGUAGGCUAGAAAAUUUAGAACAAAUGUCGAUGCACGGUCCAGAGGUGUGGAAGAUAUACAAUAAAAAAUUGGAGGCAUUGGUAUCCAGGUUUUGUUUUAUCAAAUGCAUUUCCUUCUUUAAGUUUCAACAUAGUUCUACCUAAUUGUCCUUGCUUGGAGAGAGAGAGACAGAUAUUUGCAUUAUAAAUAUGUUUUUUUUUCCAGUGCUAAAACAUUGUCUAAAGCUUUACCUAGAAUAUUAACUUUUUCGGAUAGUUUGCAGUGCCUUAUAUUUAUAGAAAUGCAUAGUAGUAUUAAAGUAAAAGAACGAAAUCUAAUUGAGUUUGACAAAAAGCCUUCUCCAUAUUAUAGGAUGUUAUCUAAAUGUUCUUGCCUCUUAUCAUGUUAUCAUAGACAUAGAUGACAAAGUGCAUGAAGGACUAAUGCUAAAUUAUUUAUCUUAACUCCUCCACAAGCCCCCAUAACUGUUGAUUGCACAUGAAUCAAUAAGCUGGUUAUAGAAAAUAAUUAAUUAGAUAUUUCUAAGAGUGGGUUGAAAGAGUUCUUGAAUGUAUGACUUUUUGAUAAUUCAGUCUUUGUUAUAUGCCUUAUAUAUUUAAUCAAAUUGCACAGCUUGAUUGUCUUUGUAAUACAAAAGACGGAAGUAACAAAUCUGAACGUGUUCAAUGAUGUGUAAACUGCAUCUGUUUGGUGAGGUUGUUUUGUGGCCAAAUAGCAAGGUAUGGGAACAUCGGAAAUAUGGCAUUCUGAUGCAAGUUUAUAUUGCUUUGGGCUCUCCCACUUCAACAUCUAGCUUUUGAGGCUUCUCUCCAUAAUUGCAUCAUCUUAGAAGGCCAUAAGAUUCUGGUCACUUGUAAAUCAAGUUUCGUUGACACUGGCGUUCCUACACUUAAAAAAAUAAUCAGUUACAGUAUGCAUUGUAUAGAAUUAUGCCUAAUCAAUGAGACAGUUCCUAGUAUUCUAUGGACUGUUAUAUGUCGCCUCAUUUCAGUCUUCAGUUACUUCAUCUUCAGUUUAAGUUCUAUUUGGUUCAUUCUUUUAAUGUUUUUAGUAGAGGGAGCAAUAUGCUCAAGUACUUGAAUUAUUUUUUCAGGGCUCAAUUACAAGCUGUGGAACUGAAUGAAAAGAUUGAAACUGUAAACCGUGAAAGAAAAUAUCAUCAGGUCAGAGAACGUACCUUAUUGUCAAUUUAUAUUCCCAAGUUGGCAGACUCAAUGAUCACUAGGUAGUUAUGUUCCUUCUGUCAUUUAUCAGCAAAACACAGCUUAUGAACUUAACGCUUUAUCUUCACAAUGGAGGGAGCUUUGCUUUAAAAAUAUAGAAAUUCAAGCUGCACGUGCUGAAAUUGAAAAUCAACUUGAAGUGAUGAAGAAGGAAGCUGUGGAGAGGUGAUAUCUGAUAAUGCUACUUCUGAUUUGCAUUCUUCUAUGAACCUUUUUCCCAGUUUCUUAGCUGAUAUAUUUUUUUUUUCUUUUCAUUCAGGGGCUUGAAUUUGGAUGCUAGCAUGGAGAAUGGCUUUAUUACACAUGUAGAAUAAGGUAUGACCCGUAGUCUUGCACUAAGGUGAAAAUAAAGGAAUAGACCAAACAACAUAUCUGGAAAAUUUGAUAGGAGGUAUAAAUCAUUCAGAUAAAUAUAGUUGAACCAGAGGAGGAAAAGCAAAGAGUGUAAGACUGGAAGGAAACUUUUUGAUGCGUAUUCAGUGAUUGAUAGUGCUAUUAUAUGUAAACGAGAAAGAUAAGGUACUCAUGAAGAUCUAUCAUGGUUUUUGCCUUCUUUCAGGUUUUGGGAUGAUUGUUAUUCAAAGGGGCAUGGAAUGUUUUGAUGUCCAGGGCAGUGCUGGAUGUCAUUGCUGUUCUACAUAGAGCACUAGGAGCUGCAAGCCAUCUAGCACAUAUGUGCGAAGGCUCUUCAUGCUGCGCCAUGAAUUUAAUUGAGUUAAUUGUAUCCUUAGCAACUUGUUUCUUGUACAAUUGACUGAGCCCCCGACCUCUCCUUAUGGUAGCCGACAUUCGUAUGCCCCAAUUAGACAUACUACCAGUGAGGUUGGUGGGAAGCUGGUCUGGUGAGAGACUCAGAGGAGUGAAUGCGAUCUGUUCUAUCUUAUUAAUAAUAAUAAUAAUAAUAAAAAGGGUAUCUGUUCUCGGUUUUCCUUAAGGGGCAAAUUUUACGUUUUCAGUAACUUGUUCCUGAGGUCCAUAAUUAAAAUGCCAAGCUUACCUAGCAACGAUACAAUCGAACUUUAGAAGCAAUAUAAAUCUUCCUUAAGAACUUUCAGAUUUGUCGCUAACCAUUGCGAGCCUGUGGUGAUCUUCAGUUUUAUUUGCAAAGCCUUGUUCAAUAUAUUUUUUCAAAUGAAAGAAAAUUAAAUUAGAUCCUGAAAAGUGAUUUUAUUGAACCACAAUGUGAUGUAGAUAUUAUCAGAAUGUCAUAAAUUUGAAGUAGGGUAGUGCAGAUGAAUAUGUUUUACUCCACAGUCAACAUCACUUUUUUGUUUCUGACUAUUAAUUUUCCUUAGCGGCAGGUAAGAAGAAAAGAAACCUUUCCCUUCAAAGGAGAGAGGGCACAGAAGUCGUAAUAAAUUUGAAAAUGUUUUGGAUAUUUCAUUAUUUCAAAUAAUAUUUCGUUUGUAUCAUAAAUACAUUUUUCAAUUAAUCUUUUCAUAUUUCCAACGAAUCUCAUAUACAUUAUAUCAUAAAAAGUACUACAAUAAUCAUUUCAAAUAAUACUCUGUCCAAAUAAAUUAUUAUUAUAUUCAAACAGUAAAUGGUUCUUUUUGUGGUAUGAGUUGAAAAUCAAGUGAAGCCGCACAGCUUUCAUUUACUCCAAACACUUGCACAACGAAUCAUUAAAAGUAGAGUUUAGCUCCCUAAUGUCCUUUUCAUUAAAAAUUUCAACCAUUAGCUGGAUCCCUCAUUUGUCGUGAGCCCUAUUUGGCAAAUCCAUUUUUGUUAAGUAGUAGCUAUUUUAACAUCCCAACGAACCACAAAAAUGUCCUACUAGCAAAAAGUUACACUCCAUUACCACGAAUUCUUACUCAGCACAAAUAGUUCCAAAUUGCAUUUAGAGAGAUGAUAGUAGUAUUGUUGAGGUUUAGAUUUAAUCCGGAUAAAAUCUAAAUUCAACAAAACAUUUGGUUAACGAUUUAGACCUACUUGUGACUACAAUUAUGUGGUAAAAAUGUAAUUAUUAGAGUUAAUUUUUUUUUUGGGUCAUAAUUCUAUAAACACGAUAAACUUCUCAGAAAUGUGCUGUACAACUUUUGGAAAUAUAUCACCUGGCAAAAGUUGACAAGCCUCAAACUAAAUUGAAUGGAUUACCAACGGAACCCCCUUGUUCCUCCAGCAUACAGAUAGGUGAUACAAAUCAUCUUCCAGUAUUGAUAGGUACUAAGUGUGUUUUUUCAUUGGGCAGGGUUACGAUUGUUCAAUUCAUGGAAAUUGAGAAAAUAUAAGCCUGUAAUAUACUAAUCCCAAGUCCCACACCGGAUCUGACAACUUCCGUCCAUAAAGACUCGGUUGACUUUGACAAACUCUAAACAGGCAAUUAGGUUUUGCGUUCAUGAAGAUUAAAAUCAGGAAACAAGUGCGUCAUUUGUGGCUAUUCUGAAUGAGAAAUAUAUACUAUCUUUGUCCAUUCUUUUAUAGAAACCAUAGCAGCAAAUAGACCGGAAAAGAAGGAAAAAGAGAAGAUUUGCAACUAGAAAAUGAAUACAUGAUGGAGUCCACGAGUUACAACCUUCGCAUGCAGAAUAUACAACAGAGUGGGCUUCAAGCACGACGCAACCCUCUCCUCCGGAAGCCAUUAGGGUUUUCAGACAAAUUAUCAGCGCUUCGAGGAUUGCUUUUUCUGGCAUUUUCCAUGUAAAGUAGGGUUUUCCUCCUUGCCCUCACAGUUUGAAGAUUGAGAGCAAAGAGCUUUUAGCAUUUUCUGGUUUCUGCUCUUCUUUUUCAUUUCUUUAACUUGACUAGUGGCACGCAGAACUAGCCAAUAUAUAUGCUUAAGAAGGUGUAUAGGUUUCUCUCUCGAGAACAAGAGAGAACCCUUUUAAGAACUAGCAAGUAUAAAUGCUUUUAGGCAAGAUAAGACAGUCGAAUCUUGAAGAAACCACACAGAAAUUCGGUAGAGCAAGAGUAUAGAGACUCUCUUGACAAAAAAAUAAAAAAAAAAAGAGUAACAGAGACUCUCACACAAGUUGUUUGUCGUGUAAAUCCAACUUCAACCAGGAUAAUGGUAAGAACAUAAAUGCACCCGUAAAGAAAAUUGAAAUCGUACAAAGUAUUCAUUAUUCAGUUAAUCUUACUCUAAUUUCCGCCCAUUGGGCCUGAUUAGAAAUGCAGUAGCAUUAAUGUUUCAGGAAAAAGGGCAAAAAAAAAGAACUAUUACAAAAACCAAUUGUGUAGCUACAAUAACAGUUGCUAUAUUCUACAACGUUCCUUUCUCGGGGAAAAGCCUCUGAUCCAUCUACAGAGACAGAGGGCAAUAGAUUCGCUGGAUCCCUGGGGAAAGCCACAAGUUAAGAAACAGCAAGAAAAACAGCAAAAGUUAAAUUCAGUGACAGAAACACUUGACCCUCUAUGAGACCAGAAAUAGCAAAGGCAAAUUAGAACACUAUGAAAU
rnacentral:lncRNA from 1 species